rnacentral:rRNA from 1 species
GAAAGUGAGCACGGGUUGGUAAAGCGAAGCAACCUACCUUAAUACAGGGGGAUAGGCAAGAGAAAUUGGGAUUAACCCCGCCAUAAAAUCACAGACACCAUUGUACAAUGAUUCAAAUAUUUAUAGGAUUAAGAUGGGCAUGCGUGACCUUAGUUAGUUGGCGGGGUAACGGCCCACCAAGACCACGAUGUCUAGGGGAUCUAAGAGGAUGACCCCCCACACUGGUACUGAGACACGGACCAGAUCCUUCGGGGAGGCAGCAGUAAGGAAUAUUGGUCAAUGGAGGCAACUCUGAACCAGCCAUGCCGCGUGCAGGAAGACAGCCCUCUGGGUCGUAAACUGCUUUUAUUCGGGAAUAAACCUACUUACGUGUAAGUAGCUGAAUGUACCGAAGGAAUAAGGAUCGGCUAACUCCGUGCCAGCAGCCGCCGUAAUACGGAGGAUCCAAGCGUUAUCCGGAUUUAUUGGGUUUAAAGGGUGCGUAGGCGGCUUUUUAAGUCAGGGGUGAAAGACGGUAGCUCAACUAUCGCAGUGCCCUUGAUACUGAAGAGCUUGAAUGGACUAGAGGUAGGCGGAAUGUGACAAGUAGCGGUGAAAUGCAUAGAUAUGUCACAGAACACCGAUUGCGAAGGCAGCUUACUAUGGUUUUAUUGCCGCUGAGGCACGAAAGCGUGGGGAUCAAACAGGAUUAGAUACCCUGGUAGUCCACGCCCUAAACGAUGAAUACUCGCUGUUAGCGAUACACAGUUAGCGGCUAAGCGAAAGCGUUAAGUAUUCCACCUGGGGAGUACGGUCGCAAGAUUGAAACUCAAACGAAUUGACGG